rnacentral:rRNA from 1 species
CCCUUAGAUGUCCGGGGCCGCACGCGCGCUACACUGAAGGAAUCAGCGUGGAUGCCUCCCUGGUCCGAAAGGAUUGGGAAACCCGUUGAAUCUCCUUCGUGCUAGGGAUUGGGGCUUGUAAUUCUUCCCCAUGAACGAGGAAUUCCCAGUAAGCGCGGGUCAUCAUCCCGCGCUGAAUACGUCCCUGCCCUUUGUACACACCGCCCGUCGCUCCUACCGAUUGAGUGGUCCGGUGAGGCUUUGGGAUCUGAGCGGAAAGAGCGUUUCGCUGUUUCUGCUCGGAAAACUCAGUCGAACCUUAUCAUUUAGAGGAAGGAGAAGUCGUAACA